rnacentral:lncRNA from 1 species
UUGAAAAGACUCCGGCAUGAUGCAUUAAAUGCCAGGAUAUUUGAGGGCGGUCGCGCGCAGGAUUUAAGGGGGCAACUUCGGCUGUAAAAAUUUUUCUAUACUUCCUUCAUUCGAAACUCAAACUCGAAAGUAGGGGGACUGGUGUUGGGUAUAAAAUACCCCUCUAACCGAAGUUCGUACCAGGAGUGACCCUCCCGAGACUCUGCCGACGUCCAACCUUGGGCG